rnacentral:rRNA from 1 species
CCGUAGCCCAAGAGAUCGGGAUAACACCUGGAAACAGAUGCUAAUACCGGAUAACAAUAGAUGAUGCCUAUCAACUGUUUAAAAGAUGGUUCUGCUAUCACUCUUGGAUGGACCUGCGGUGCAUUAGCUAGUUGGUAGGGUAACGGCCUACCAAGGCGAUGAUGCAUAGCCGAGUUGAGAGACUGAUCGGCCACAUUGGGACUGAGACACGGCCCAAACUCCUACGGGAGGCAGCAGCU